rnacentral:rRNA from 1 species
CUAUGCGCCUUGCCAGCCCGCUCAGUCAGAGUUUGAUCCUGGCUCAGGAUGAACGCUGACAGAAUGCUUAACACAUGCAAGUCUUUGGCAAAUCUGUGCUUGCACAGCCUAGCCAAGGCGGACGGGUGAGUAACGCGUAAAGAACUUGCCCUGCAGACAGGGAUAACAGACGGAAACGACUGAUAACACCUGAUACAGUUGCCGGCACGCAUGUGCCCGGCAAUGAAAAGAGAUGCUGCAGGAGAGCUUUGCGUCCUAUUAGCUUGUUGGUGAGGUAACGCUCACCAAGGCGAUGAUAGGUAGCCGGCCUGAGAGGGUGAACGGCCACAAGGGGACUGAGAUACGGCCCUU